rnacentral:lncRNA from 10 species
UGAUACAACAGACCUCCUCAUUACCCGUUUGAGGAAACUAGAGGUUCAAGAACUGCAGUGAUUUGUCAUAAGUCACAUUGCCAGCAAAUGACAGAAUGGUGACUGGAACAUUGGAUUUCUAAAGCGGAGUUCCCUUUUAACCACAGCUGCACACUGUUACCCAUCCAUACCACAUGCUUUUCUGUCUCUAAGCCUUUACAUACACAAAUAUUGCCCUUGCUUACUUACCUUCUACCUCCUACCCAGUUCACAGAUUCUCUGAGGUUCUGCACUGUGUUGGAGGGGACUGUGCUGUGUCCAGGCUAGUUGGUCUGCUCUGAUUCUCCAUAUGUUAAGGCUGAGACUAAAUGUGUCCGAUGGGCAAGGUAGAGGUUACAUGACUCGCAGGAGAGAUGUGAAGGUACAACUAGAAUAGGUUUACUCCAGCAAAUGUAAAAUGUCCCCUCACAGUACAAUUUGAGCUAAAAGCAUACUCCAAAUCAUCUCUUUUACAACGUAGUCAUGUUACCUAAAAUAUCCAGCAGUGGAGACUCCCUUAAUGCAUGACUUCUGUGAACAUUUUCUUUCCCUCCCUUCCUUCCCUUCCUCCUUCCUUCCUUCCUUCCUUCCUUCCUUCCUUCCUUCCUCCCUCCCUCCCUCCCUCCCUCACUUCCUCCCUUCCUUCUUUCCUUCCUUCCUUCUCCUUUUUCUUUCUUUUCCCAAUAUGAAGAUGCUUAGGUGGUAGUUACUCUUUAAAAUUGGCCUCAAACAAUUCUUUCUUUCCAUGUGCACACAUGUUAUCCCAUCCACCAAGAGAUAGAGCUUAUGUCCUUGUCUCUUGAAUUCAGGCUGGGCCUACAAAGAAACUAAUGUGCUGAGACUUCUAAGUCCAGGCAUUAAGAAGGCCUGGAAUAUUUUACUUCCUUCCUGUUGGAGCUAUGAGCCACCAUGUACGAAGUCUAGGCCCAUCUGAUGGAGAGAGAGGUCCUGGAAGAUGAGAAGCCAGGAAGAGAGAGCCGUGGAGGAGCGCCAAGGUAUCAACCACCAAGUCCCAUCUGCAGCCCAAAUACCAUCUGACUAUAACCUCAUAAGAAACCCCAGAUUGUUUUGGCAGUCUAGACAGAGUCUUGUAAAAUCCUUUUCUGAUGUCAUCCACAUCCUUCCUUGAUAAGUUCAAAAUGAAUCCGGAGCAAGCAUGGCUCCUCUAGCCAUGUCGUACAAAUAAUUAGUGCAGUGCCACCCGGAGAGGGUUUUGCACUCCAGUGAUUUCCACAUGAGAGGAAUGGACUGAUGAGCUGGCCACCAGAUCAUGUAAAUAUGUGGCAGAAAAUUCAGCUGCUGAAGGGAAAGAAGAAACACACAUGUGGGCAUUUCAUGUUUUAAAAGAACUUUGUGGAAAAUGGAACAGAUCAGAGAGAAAAGUAGUCGAGACUCAGGGAAAGAAAGAUUAAGGAAGUUAUUUUCUUAUUGAAGCCAGGAACAUAGUAUAGAAUUAAUGAUUCCUUAAAAGGCAAUUUAAAAUUCUAUUUCUAAGGGAAGACAUUAGAUCAUAUUUAUAUCAUAAUUUGUAAAGUGGGAAAAUGCUUCCAGGUUACGACUUGAAAUUCUGGUUAUAAGAGCUGGAAUUUAUUAUUUCAUCAUUUUACUUAUUUAUCCAUCAGUAGAUGAAUAAAUUAACAUACCAACAUAUGUCUUCUCUAGUAGAACAUAAAAUAUACAAGACACGUUCAAACAGUUAUCAGGCUUAUAGCCUUAUUAAAAAUCAAUGCCAAUUUGUUAGAAAAUAAUUUAUUGAUCAGCAAACAAUGACAGAUACGUCCUCUGUUAAAGGCUUGAAAUUUUCCUUUGCCCUAAGUUUUUAUUUUCAUGUGAUUAUACCCUUCUUGCUUUCAGCUGCAACUGAAAGAAAAAUGCUUCUCCUAUUGCACUUUUAAAAUUCUCUAGUUACAUUCUCCAAAAAUAAUGAAAUUUUAUAAAAGUGAGUAAGAAAUAUUCAAUUCCAUUCUUCUUGCAUUUUCUCUGCAGUUGGUUAUUUCAGAAAAAAAAGAAUAGGAAAUAGUUGACAUGUGUUUUUGUUUUUUUUUUCCUGCAUCCUGACAUAUUUCUCAACUCCUCACCCUCUCCUCUCUCUAUCCUGCCUUGUUUCUGGCCAUCUUCUCUUCUUGUUUGGCUGUUUUAUUAUCUUCCUCAGUGUUCUCCUGUACAAUUUUCACACAAAACUCAAAUCAUGUUCUCUCCUCACUUAAAGCCAUGUGAUAGCCUCUAAACCCCUCACCAUGCCCUGCCAUCAGCCUCAGAUUACAUGUGCUCCUACCUACCCUUUGAUGGAGCCUUACCUUUCACCAUUGCUUGAACCUCCAGGUUCUCUGAAGCAUCCAAUGCAUUGGCCAAUUCUGCCCCUCCUUCACUUUGACUGCCUGGCAGAUUACUACUCAUUCUUUAUGAAACAAACCUCAUGUGCUCUUGACAUCAAUCUGUGUGGUCCUACUGGGCUUCUUUAAUUGACCAGUCCCGGUUCCAUAUUCCACAGUUGACACCACAUAAAAACAGACCUUGGUCACUCUUAUACUGGCCACAACUUCUGGCUGAACUCACUACUGUUAUGUAUCUCAAGCUUAUCUCUCCCAGCUCUGUGCCUUCCCAGUCUCUGACCUCUACUACAUCCCUCAGAGAGAUUUGCUCUCUGGCUCUGACCUUUGACUUUAUUUUUGACUACCACCUGUGUCAUCUUCCUUGAUAAUCCCACUCUCAGUUGUGUAAACAUUUCACUAGGCUGGCUCUUUGGCCUAAAUUACCUCAGCCUUACCCAGCAAAGAAUCCCCUAAUUUCCCUAGAAUCCUUAGAGAGACCAUGUGUUCUAUUCUUUCCAGUAGAGAUCAUGUUGUAUGGUCUUUAUGUUUUCACCAGGCAGCAAAUUCCUGAAAAGCAGGCAUGAUAUCUUACUCUUUUUGGUAUCCUCAGGGCAUAAUUUAGUGCCUGAUGUAUAGCAGUGUUUGUUGAAUGAAUGAAUGUGAUUUUUCUAUUUCCUACCUAUCCACUUCGUUAUAUCCACCUGUUUAUCAGAUUGUUUGGAAUACAGUGGGACUUCAACAAAUAUAUUUGGAUUAAAUGAAUAAAGUUGUUAAUAUCCUCCUAUAGCACUUGACUUGUUACAGUGAGCAUAAAUAGUUUUGUAAUUUUUAAAUUGAAAAGGAGA